UUCAUGUCUUCCUUUAAUCCCUCUUAUCUGUUUUACUUCUUUUACAUAUCAAAUGGGAAUGCCAAUUUUCUUCCGCCUUUUCACUUUGUUAAAUCUUUGGCAUGCCAAAUGGGAACACUGAUUUCUUACUCAUAUAUAUGGAAUAGUUUGUUAUAUAGUGGGUUUGUUAAAUCUUUUUCACAUUAUAUGUGAGAUUUGGUACUAUUUUCUUCAUGUGGAAUCGUUUUUCAUAUGUGUUUUUAUAUAUCUAGUGAAGUACUAGUUUGGUUGGAUUUUGUACGCAUUGUCUUGCUCCUUGUAAGUAAACACUACACUUUAAGCCAUUGAUGGUCAUUACUUAACUUAUCCUAAAAAUUAAUCCUUGCUUUGAGUGCUUUGGGAAGAAAAUUUUUUUGUGUUUUGGGGUGGGGGGUGCAAAAAAUUUAUUUAGUUGUUCAUGUAUGUGCUUCCCUAUUCAAAACUCAUAAUAACUUCAUUUUUCUGGUUAAUUAGGUCUUUCCCGCAGUUAACUCAUCUGUGCUGGACCAAUUGAGUAACGUGGAUUGCAUUGUUUAUGCU
rnacentral:misc_RNA from 1 species